GACGCCGUGAGGCCAAGCUGAAAGAAGCGCGUAGCGAAGGCGCGACCGCAGGAACACGAACAGGCAGCGAGGCUGGAUGUGGGCGAUUAGCGUGCUGGGAACCGCGAAAUCCAACCGUCACCGAAAGACGCAUCCAGUAGAGCCUGGCGGCACGAGCCGAAGGUUUUGGCA
rnacentral:ncRNA from 1 species